rnacentral:lncRNA from 1 species
AGACCAUUUCCUACAACUAUGGCUUGUCUGAGUCCUGAGCCAGCAGAGCUCAGGCCACAGCACCUGCACCCGUUUUCUGCUGCUGCACACAAGGGCUCUGUGCAUUCCGCAUCCAGAAGAUCUUAGAUUAGUAAGAUCAUGUUGGCCAUGGCAUGGAGAAUGGGCUGGAGGUGGAGAGACUGGAGGUUGGAAGUCCAGUUAGGAGAUUGCUCCUGCGCUGGGGAGUUGGUGUUAGGACAGAAGAUCCAAGACGCGUUUCAGAGAGCCCCUCUUCUUGGGCCUGCGAUUCCUCACCUGGAAGGGAGAAGAGUGGACUUCCUGCCUAGAGAACACCUUGUGGCUCCCUUUGAAGAACUGCCUUGGGGUUCAUGUUGCAGCAUCAAACAGGGAUGGAAGAUGCAUCUUGCUUUAGCAGCAGGAGCCUGGAAAGCAGCUGAAGCCCUGGAGGGUGCCUGGCACACAGAAUCUUGUGCUGAGCCCGGAGCACAAUGGGAGCGGGCUGGCGGGGUGGGUUCACAGCUGGACUGGGAGCAGCAGACAUACAGGCCGUAGGCACAGACAUAUAAAGACAGUCAUGCAGAUUGCAGGAUGCCUGAGAGCACAGACUCUCACAUGCACAAAUACGUGCAUGAUCGCCAGUGUGCAUCCAGACAGCCCCACAUGCAUGCACACGCAUGCACACAUGUGAUGUGUACAUAGAUGGACACAUGUCUAUGCCCACAAACACUGCAGAGACACAGAAGUGUCUGGCAAGGAACACUAUUUUGUCCUCAAUUUUCUGCCAGUGAGAGUCUACUGACUCCAUCUCUGAAAUGUCUCUACUUAUUGUCCCUCUUCUCCACCUGCACCACAUCCCUAGUCCCUGAAACUCCCACCGAGACCCCUGGGCAAU